rnacentral:tRNA from 1 species
CUAGAGAAAGCCGCAGCAAUACUCACACCUAUCGGUUGUUUCAGCACCGGGCUUGUAGCUCAGUUGGUUAGAGCACACGCUUGAUAAGCGUGGGGUCGGAAGUUCAAGUCUUCCCAGGCCCACCAGAUAAAACUGGCGGGACUUGGUUCGUUAAGGUUUGAGAACCAAGCAAUGCGUUGUCAAUGCUUAAUGGGGGAUUAGCUCAGCUGGGAGAGCACCUGCUUUGCAAGCAGGGGGUCGUCGGUUCGAUCCCGUCAUCCUCCACCAAACAACCCGGGAAGAGCUUGGGUUAAAUGCAGUACCUAUCUAUGUGAAUCGUAAGAAAUGAAGCUCCUGGCUUUAUCUCUUACGCUUUAUGCGUAACGGCUGUUCUUUAAAAAUUUGGAAGAAGGUGAGGCAUUUGUGAUGAGUGCCUCAACAUGGGUUGAUAUUGUAUCUACCGUGCGAUCAGGCGCCGAGCCUGAUUGUACGGAAAGCAAACACACCUGUAAUGCUGGACAUCACUGCGCGCAAGCCAAUUUGGUUUGAGCGUGGUGGUGCUCAAAAUUAUAG